AAUAUUUUAUUCGCCGUAUGUCUCAACGCGGUCGGUAUAUGCGCACAUAUCUGUAUCGUCAAAGCGCUGCGACCGCGACCCGUUGUGUGACCUUGAGCUCUUCUGUUUCACUCCUCCCCUCACACUCUCUUCAUGCCAUGCCAUCCCGCUGAUAGUCGUGCAGCGCCAGCCUUAUUGGGUUCCUACUUCGCUCGUUUGGCAGCGCUGCGUACCGGACCUGUAAACCGUCGAGCUUCAUGCACACACCACCAGGGCGACGCGAAGUUUUGUGUUACAUUAGAAGCCUAGGCGUUGACAGUCUGUAUAUCUCAGUCGUCUGUGGCCGCGCCCCUGACCGUACGCCACGCCUCUCAGACGGCUGGCGCACAUGGCUUGGAGAGCUCGCCUCAAGGUCACGCUAGCUACAUAAUGCUCUUAAUGAGACCCUUGGUUAUCUUGACAAGUAAGAGCUGCUACCUAUCAGCCGCUCUUGGAACUACCAGCAGCCUCCAUUUCCCGACCACGGAUAGAGUGAGACAUUUAUCUGAUGCGCGCGAGAAUCAGAAUAACAGUUUAUACGAUUUUCUUCAUUUUGAGUUUUCGUGAGUGGCAUCUUGCAGCUUUAUUAUCAACAUAAAGAUGGUGCGGAAUUACAGAAGAAAAACAGGCAGACAAAAAUGGAGUAUACAAUCGAUGGAAUUUGCAGUGGUAGCUGUUAUUUCCGGGGAAAUGGGAUAUUUGAAGGCAUCACAACAUUUCAAUGUGCCAAAAACCUCUUUGUAAAGAUAUGUUGCAAAAAAGAAAAACAAUGUAAGCUAUGAAAUAGACAAAUCUGAGGGGAAAUAUCAUAAUGUAUUCACCCUAGAACAAGAUAUUGAAUUGGCUGACUAUUUAAAAUCUAUGGAAAGUAGACUCUUUGGUUUAGCAAUGAAAGACCUACGGUUCUUAGCAUUUCAGUUAGCUGAGUGAAACGGCCUGAGCCACAGAUUCAAUAACAGUACAGGUUUGGCAGAUGAGGAUUGGGCGAGAGGCUUUCUUUCACGACAUCCUACAUUAAGGGCGCGGUUCACAAAAUGGCAAGAAAUUCAGAGGAAAUUUGGGUGGCUGUAAUAAACAUAUUUAAUAAGAAAUAAAGAACAUAAUACUGACAAAUUAAAAAA